GUAAGGAAUAUUGGGCAAUGGGGGGAACCCUGACCCAGCCAUGCCGCGUGAGGGAAGUAGGCCCUACGGGUCGUGAACCUCUUUUGUCCAGGGACAAGGACGGCGUCGGGAACGUCGUUUGAGGGUACUGGAAGAAUAAGCAUCGGCUAACUCCGUGCCAGCAGCCGCGGUAAUACGGAGGAUGCGAGCGUUAUCCGGAUUCAUUGGGUUUAAAGGGUGCGCAGGCGGCCGGGCAAGUCAGCGGUGAAAGUCAGGGGCCCAACCCCGGAAGUGCCGUUGAUACUGUUCGGCUGGAAUGCGGUCGAGGCGGGCGGAAUGUGGCGUGUAGCGGUGAAAUGCGUAGAUAUGCCACAGAACGCCGAUAGCGAAGGCAGCUCGCCAGGCCUGCAUUGACGCUCGGGCACGAAAGCGUGGGGAUCGAACAGG
rnacentral:rRNA from 1 species